CUGAAAACCCAUUCUUGAGCUAUUUGAAAAUAUACAAGUUAUUAUAGUCACGCUGUGGUGCCGCAGAACGCUGGGACUAACUCAUCCUUUUCUGUGACCUGCUUGUAGCAUUCAUGGCAUUCCUCUUUGAGCUCAGUGAUCUCGUGGACCUCACAUCAAUCGGGACCCUGCUCACUUACUCCUUGGUGUCCUUCUGCGUUCUUGUCCUCAGGUACCAGCCAGACCAGAAUCCCCGCAAGAAUGAGGCAGCGGAGGGGGAACUUGAGAUGAAGCCUGUGCCUGAAGCAAGGUCGCCGGAACCUGUUCCUGUGGCAGGACCCGCGGCGACUCUCAGGAGUCUGUGUCACCCUGUCGACUCCCGUCCCACCCCGAGAUCAGGCCGCACCGUGUACGGCUGUGCCUUGCUGCUCGUUUUCCUGCUGACGAUCCUGAGCCUCAUCCUGGCCCAGUGGCCCGCACUGCUGUUCUCCGGAGACCCGGCGUGUGCGGCCGUGACCGUGUUGCUGCUGGCGCUCAUUGUGGGCAUCACGUUCAUCAUUUGGAGACAGCCCCAGAGCAACACUCCUCUUUACUUCAAGGUAGGUGACCUGGGUCCCCAAGUCCCCGCCCUGAGUGAAUGACCUCUGCAUGCCUCGAGGUCUAAACACUCUUUGCUGCACAGCGAAGAAAACGGGGAGUGGCUAAAAGCUGUGGAUCAUUCACGGGUGACCCCAACACCCCAUAUCAGCACUUUGCUACUGUGUUUCCCCAAAAAUAAGGCCUACCCAUAAAAUAAGCCCUAGCAGAUGUCUAAGCAUUUGUGCAAUAGAAGCCUCAACCUGAAAAUGAGCCCUAGUGAUGGGCAUGGCCACCAGCGUGUCUGCACAGCCCAAGCGUGUCAUCCCGGAGCGGGAAAGAACACGAGCAGCCCUUCUCCUCUGCCCUGUGACAGCUCUGUGGCUCCACGUGAGAGAUCGGGGCCGGUGGUUCUAAAGGAAAUAGAGUGGCAAGAAAUUCAGGGUGGAAUUCGGGGUUUGGAGAGUGAUGAUGAUGUUCCAGAAGAAGACGACUUCACUAUAUUUGAAUCAAUGUAGAUUAUUGUACCAUACUUAAAACACAUGCCCUGAAAAUAAGCCCUAGGGUGUCUUCUUGAGGAAAAUUGAAUAUAAGACCCUGUCUCAUUUUCGGGGAAACACGGUAGUUG
ensembl:lincRNA